rnacentral:rRNA from 1 species
UACGUAGGGGGCAAGCGUUGUCCGGAAUCAUUGGGCGUAAAGAGCGUGUAGGCGGUCCGGUAAGUCGGCUGUGAAAGUCCAGGGCUCAACCCUGGGAUGCCGGUCGAUACUGCCGGACUAGAGUUCGGAAGAGGCGAGUGGAAUUCCCCGGUGUAGCGGUGAAAUGCGCAGAUAUCGGGAGGAACACCGAUAGUGAAGACAGCUCACUAAGCUCAAACUGACGCUGAGGCACGAAAGUGUGGGGAUCAAACAGG